rnacentral:misc_RNA from 1 species
GGCUGAGGAGGAGUGGCUUUCUUCCGCGACAAAUUGGUUGCGACGGCACGACUAGCGCCAAUGAGAGGGGAGUCAUCGGGCUUGAGAUCUUCAUCUAGGGCCAUGGAGGAAGGGUCGAAAUCGGCGUCAUGGGGAGGGGCAGAGGGAGUAAUGUUGGAAGAAGGGCGGUCGUGGAGGUGGAGGCCGUUCUUGUUGGGGUCAAGUGGUUGGGAUUUGGUUUUCUUCAUAGGAGGGGAAGAGAUGGAAGAGGCGGUG